AGAGUUUGAUCCUGGCUCAGAUUGAACGCUGGCGGCGUGCCUAACACAUGCAAGUCGAGCGGUAACAGGUGUAGCAAUACAUGCUGACGAGCGGCGAACGGGUGAGUAAUGCUUCGGAAUCUGCCCAAUGGUGGGGAAUAACCAGCCGAAAGGUUGGCUAAUACCGCAUAAGUCCUACGGGAGAAAGCAGGGGAUCGUAAGACCUUGCGCCGAUGGAUGAGCCGAAGUCGGAUUAGCUAGUUGGUAGGGUAACGGCCUACCAAGGCGACGAUCCGUAGCUGGUCUGAGAGGACGACCAGCCACACUGGGACUGAGACACGGCCCAGACUCCUACGGGAGGCAGCAGUGGGGAAUAUUGGACAAUGGGGGAAACCCUGAUCCAGCGACGCCGCGUGUGUGAAGAAGGCCUGCGGGUUGUAAAGCACUUUUAGUGGGGAUGAAAAGCUCAGGGAUAACACCUCUGGGUCUUGACCUAACCCACAGAAAAAGCACCGGCUAACUCUGUGCCAGCAGCCGCGGUAAUACAGAGGGUGCAAGCGUUAAUCGGAAUUACUGGGCGUAAAGCGUGCGUAGACGGUUAUGUAAGUCGGGUGUG
rnacentral:rRNA from 1 species